rnacentral:rRNA from 1 species
CCUACGGGUGGCUGCAGUAAGGAAUAUUGGUCAAUGGAGGAAACUCUGAACCAGCCAUCCCGCGUGAAGGAUGAAGGGGCUCUGCCUUGUAAACUUCUUUUGUCUGGGGCGAAAAAGCUCGAUUUAUCGAGCACUGACGGUACCAGAAGAAUAAGCACCGGCUAACUCCGUGCCAGCAGCCGCGGUAAUACGGAGGGUGCAGGCGUUACCCGGAAUCACGGGUGCUUAAGGGUGCGUGUAAGUCAUUGGUGAAAGGCUGUGGCUUAACCAUGGAAUUGCCAUUGAUACUGCAGAGCUUGAAUGAGGUUGAGGUUGGCGGAAUGUGACAUGUAGCGGUGAAAUGCUUAGAUAUGUCAUGGAACACCGAUUGCGAAGGCAGCUGACUGGACCUAUAUUGACGCUGAGGCACGAAAGCGUGGGGAGCGAACAGGAUUAGAUACCCUGGUAGUC